rnacentral:tRNA from 1 species
GGGGAGAUGGCUGAGUGGACUAAAGCGGUGGAUUGCUAAUCCGUUGUAUAAUUUUUUUGUACCGAGGUUUCGAAUCCCUCUCUUUCCG